CUUGUGUUGUCUUGAAAAUUCCAUUCACAGUAGCCACAACUCAGUGCCCUCGGCUCCUGAGCUGGACUGUGUGAGGAGAGUCUUCAGGGAACUGAGGGGCUGGGUUGGGCGCAGGGGUCUGCUCCCUUCUCUCUAUGUCCUCUGACUGUGAUGUUGGCUGUGUGUGGUCCUCACAGUGAUCCCUUGCAAGCAUCCCAAGGAAGCAGGGCUGUGUGUGCAUUUAUGUGUGUGCUAUUGGGGCCAUGCAAAGAGAACUCUGGAAAAGGAGGGGCCUGAACGAGGAGGCCAAGCAGACCCUGCAGUUAAAGCCAUGGCCGUGAUCCAGAGAUCUGAAGACUCCUCCUGACAGCUCCAAGGGACUUCCUGGGGGCUGAGGAAUGGAUCUGGGUGGCGGUUCUGAGUUCUUAAGUCAAUCAUGGAAUCUUCUAGAACAAGAUCCCCCCGUGUUGCAUCAGUUAGUGGAAACACUGGAUAUUCCAGGCAAGAAGUAUCUUUUGAGUGACGAUGGGAGGAGGAAUUGGCUGGCUUCAUUUUGCAUGGAAAGUUAAUUGCUUUUGGAAAGUUGUUUUCAGUCACAUGAGGACCACACAGAGGAAAAAAAACACAACAACAACAACACUGCCUUCAGAUGGGAGAUUCGCCAACAGCAACAAUAGCCUCUGCCUUUCUGAGACUGAUGGACGUCGAGGGCAACCCAAGGCAGAGCCAUUGUUUACACUGACAGCUUAACAGCAGGCUUGAAGGGAGAAGGAGAUGGGGUGGCAGAGGGAAGCUGUAAACACUUAAUCCGUCACAGAGACUUCCAGGGAACCAGGCGCCAUGGAGCCAGACCGACCAAGCCCUUAAUUGUUGGGCAAUUCGCUGUCUCCACUGCCCUGGCCGCCCUCGUUAGAUGCCAGCACGGCGGAGCAUCCGACAAGGACCGCCAGCGCGGGGAGGGCUCACGGCUGUCGUGGUGGGAUCGGCUCCCUGGAGAUGGGAGACACAUGAUGGAUAUUCACCUGUCCUCGGUGCUUGUCUCAUUUAUUCAAAUUAACUAGUGCCCAGAGCUGCAAAGAAAUGGAUCUGAAUUCAGACAAAGAUGAAUUGCAGUAAAAAUGGAAAUUAAAACUCAGAAAACUAAUACCAUCAGGCCACUGGAAUUUUAUUAGCUAAUCAUGGCUAAGAUAUUGGACUUCUGAAAACGCUGCUUUGAUUGAAUUUUCACCUUGGAUCCACGAGGGCUUGUCAGGAUGGUGUCUGGUGAUGCAGGGAGGGAGUAGCGCAGACUGUAAUGAGCUGUUGAACGCCCUCUUUCCCUCACGGUUUAGGUUUUUGGCUCAAGUAUCAUAGACUUUUGGAAUUGACAGUGCUUGAAGUCAUAACUUUAGAAGCCACCCCAAGACCAAGGUCAGGCAUCAUCCAGGGUCCUCAGGAUUGGUCUCUCAGAUCGGGUACCACGGUGCUCUUGGGAUCCUGGCAGAGCACAGCUGGAGGAGGAGACAGCAAGACUAUGACCUGGGGGUGCUCUAGCAGCUACUGCCGGAGCCUUACCUCCUGAGGGCUCUGAUGGCUGGGGACUGGCUUCCCUGUGCCCACAUCGUCAGCACCUUGACUUUAGCACGCCUCUGAGUGACGUCAUCUGCACCACACCUGUAGCAUCGGAGCUGCUCUUGCCUCAAGGCCCCUGUGUCUCCAGGGAGGACCUUGCUGCCCUGGCUGCUCGGCCUGCACUCUGCCACCGUCUUCCCAUUUUAGCAAGGGGACAUCAGACUGUCCCUAUCAGUUCUCCUGAUCAGACAGCCCAGGACAGGGAGUGUCCCAUUUCCUGCCUACGGAUUCCCCAGUGGACGGACCAUGCCCAGGGCCUGCCCUCCACCCGGUAAUGCAGAAAUGGAGGAAGGGAAGGACCAACGGAUGAACCUUCUCCUGGAUUCCUGAAGGACAAUUCCAAGUGGUGUCCUACGUGUCUUUGGGAUGGUUCCAGGCCCGAUCAUGUCUCCAUUUUCCUUGGGGGGUGUUACAGUGUGGACAGGGUUUGUCUCUGCCAAAACUCACAGAAUUUAACUGCCAAGAUAAUGGUAUUGAGAGGUGGCAGGACACUGGAGGGGUGGUUAGGUCACAAGAGUCCACUCUCAUAGCUGAUUACUGUGGUUCUGGUGGAACUAGGUCAGUUCUGAUGAGAGCAGAUGUUCCAA
rnacentral:lncRNA from 1 species